AUCGCUUCUCGGCCUUUUGGCUAAGAUCAAGUGUAGUAUCUAUUCUUAUCAGUUUAAUAUCUGAUACGUCCUCUACCUGAGGACACUAUAUUAAAUGUAUUUUUGUAAUUAGGAGUUGGAAUAGGAGCUUGCUCCGUCCACUCCACGCAUCGACCUGGUAUUGCAGUACCUCCAGGAACGUUGCACCCCUC
rnacentral:snRNA from 1 species